rnacentral:rRNA from 1 species
CCUACGGGAGGCAGCAGUGGGGAAUUUUGGACAAUGGGCGAAAGCCUGAUCCAGCAAUGCCGCGUGAGUGAAGAAGGCCUUCGGGUUGUAAAGCUCUUUUGUCAGGGAAGAAACGGUGAGGGCUAAUAUCCCUUGCUAAUGACGGUACCUGAAGAAUAAGCACCGGCUAACUACGUGCCAGCAGCCGCGGUAAUACGUAGGGUGCAAGCGUUAAUCGGAAUUACUGGGCGUAAAGCGUGCGCAGGCGGUUUUGUAAGUCUGUCGUGAAAUCCCCGGGCUCAACCUGGGAAUUGCGAUGGAGACUGCAAGGCUAGAAUCUGGCAGAGGGGGGUAGAAUUCCACGUGUAGCAGUGAAAUGCGUAGAGAUGUGGAGGAACACCGAUGGCGAAGGCAGCCCCCUGGGUCAAGAUUGACGCUCAUGCACGAAAGCGUGGGGAGCAAACAGGAUUAGAUACCCUGGUAGUCCACGCCCUAAACGAUGUCUACUAGUUGUCGGGUUUUAAUUAACUUGGUAACGCAGCUAACGCGUGAAGUAGACCGCCUGGGGAGUACGGUCGCAAGAUUAAAACUCAAAAGUGUAAGUGGACGNGUAGAGAGUCGACGAGGACACGACGGAGGGUUAGAGG